rnacentral:rRNA from 1 species
UACGUAGGGGGCUAGCGUUGUCCGGAAUCAUUGGGCGUAAAGCGCGUGUAGGCGGUCCGGUAAGUCCGCUGUGAAAGUCGGGGGGCUCAACCCUCGAAUGCCGGUGGAUACUGUCGGGCUAGAGUGCGGAAGAGGCGAGUGGAAUUCCUGGUGUAGCGGUGAAAUGCGCAGAUAUCGGGAGGAACACCGGUGGCGAAGGCGGUUCUCUGGGCCUUACCUGACGCUGAGGAGCGAAAGCGUGGGGAGCGAACAGG